AUUGAACGCUAGCUACAGGCUUAACACAUGCAAGUCGAGGGGAAACGAUAUUGGAAGCUUGCUUCCGAUAGGCGUCGACCGGCGCACGGGUGAGUAACGCGUAUCCAACCUGCCCACCACUUGGGGAUAACCUUGCGAAAGUAAGACUAAUACCCAAUGAUAUCUCAAGAAGACAUCUGAAUGAGAUUAAAGAUUUAUCGGUGAUGGAUGGGGAUGCGUCUGAUUAGCUUGUUGGCGGGGUAACGGCCCACCAAGCCGACGAUCAGUAGGGGUUCUGAGAGGAAGGUCCCCAACAAUGGAAGAGAGACUCGGUCCAAACUCCUACGGGAGGCAGCAGUGAGGAAUAUUGGUCAAUGGGCGAGAGCCUGAACCAGCCAAGUCGCGUGCAGGAUGACGGCCCUAUGGGUUGUAAACUGCUUUUAUAAGUGAAUAAAGUGAGCCUCGUGAGGCUUUUUGCAUGUACCUUAUGAAUAAGGACCGGCUAAUUCCGUGCCAGCCGCCGCAGUAA
rnacentral:rRNA from 1 species